UACGGGGGGAGCAAGCGUUGUUCGGAUUUACUGGGCGUAAAGGCGCGUAGGCGGCCACGACAAGUCAGUUGUGAAAUCUCUGGGCUUAACUCAGAACGGUCAACUGAUACUGUCGGGCUAGAGUGCAGAAGGGGCAACUGGAAUUCUCGGUGUAGCGGUGAAAUGCGCAGAUAUCGGGAGGAACACCUAUGGCGAAGGCAGCUCGCUGGGACGUUACUGACGCUGAGACGCGAAAGCGUGGGGAGCAAACAGG
rnacentral:rRNA from 1 species